CCUACGGGAGGCAGCAGUGAGGAAUAUUGGUCAAUGGACGAGAGUCUGAACCAGCCAAGGAGCGUGAAGGAUGAAUGCCCUAUGGGUUGUAAACUUCUUUUAUAUGGGAAUAAAAUGUUCCAAGUGUGGGAUUUUGGAUGUACCAUAUGAAUAAGGAUCGGCUAACUCCGUGCCAGCAGCGGCGGUAAUACGGAGGAUCCGAGCGUUGUCCGGAUUUAAUGGGUUUAAAGGGAGCGUAGGUGGAGUGUUAAGUCAGUUGUGAAAGUUUGCGGCUCAACCGUAAAAUUGCAGUUGAAACUGGCAGUCUUGAGGACAGUAGAGGUGGGCGGAAUUCGUGGUGUAGCGGUGAAAUGCUUAGAUAUCACGAAGAACUCCGAUUGCGAAGGCAGCUCACUGGACUGCAACUGACACUGAGGCUCGAAAGUGUGGGUAUCAAACAGGAUUAGAUACCCCUGUAGUC
rnacentral:rRNA from 1 species